rnacentral:misc_RNA from 1 species
UUUGCUGGCAUCUUCUCUCUUUUGAAGGUUCAGCUCCUCUCANAUGAAUUANCGGGGUCCUCUUUGCCGAUCCUUGACAUGUNAUAAGAUGUUUCCAUGCCUUGGUUUCUGGCUCUGUCGCCUUCGGGACCCGCUCCUAACCGUCUUGACCUUGCAUCGAGACAAUGUUCGAGCUCGUCUCCCUUCUCGGGAGACAUCCUCGACCCCACGAACCCUUGACCUCAAAUCGGGUGAGACUACCCGCUGAACUUAAGCAUAUCAAUA